GGCUCUUGGGGGCUUUUCCCCAAGAAGGGAGAAGGGCAGCCUGUCACUGAUGGGCUGCCCUUCUCCCUCCUUGGGGAAAAGCCCCCAAGAGCUGCAC
rnacentral:miRNA from 1 species